rnacentral:sRNA from 1 species
UUGAUUGUCCUGUAGACUGAGGUCUUCUCUUCACAGAACAGGUGACAUGAGCAGCAGCAGUCCAAACCUCACCUUCACUGCCCAGCUAAUGCAAUGCAGUUUAUCACUCUACACACACAGUGAGAACAGGGCCAGGUUUAAGGCACAACAAAUAUAGAGCAGUU